CAAAAGUGCAAGUGUAUUGUUUUAGACGUAGCAGUAACACCUAUGCCCUAUUUCUUAAGCAUGAAGCUGAGAGAAAAACUUAAAGACAGAACUGAAGAGAGAGAGAAACAGGGAGCCAAUGCCACUCAACCAGCAAAGGCACUGUCAGGAGUGGUGAGGAGACAGUUGGAGAAGGCUGCUGAGGCAGUGAAGGGACAGUUGAAAGACUGGAAAGAGGAAAAAAUCACGUUAGUGGAGGCUGGAAAGGCAAUGAAGAAAUUUUUGGAGACUAGGAAAGACGAACACAAAGAAGCCAAAAAAUAGGGUGGAGUUUGCCUGAGUUUUCACACAGCCCCAACUGUGCUUAGAAGUCUCAGAGUGGAGAUCCUACUAUGGAAAUACUGUUACAAUGAAGGCAUAAUGAAAUGCAGGGUCAAAUUUCAGUCAAAUCAAUUGCCACCUUCACUUGCCUCUGAUUCCCCCUCUUUGCCCACUCAUCCUACUUCCUUAUCUCUGGGAAUGCAGCGGUUUGCUCACUUAAUUGUCAGCCUGCUUUACUUUCUCCCCCUUAUCAUCAAGUGUUUCAGCUGCUACUUCAAAAUCCUAGCUAAUCUCCCCUGUCUCAUUUCCAAAAGGCAGAACAAAACAAAACAAAAAUUUGUCCUGAGAAUAAUUUAAAUCCAGAGCUCUGCCAGUGAAAUAGUCAAGAUCAAGACAGUAGGUCUUGAUCAGAAAGAUUUUAGAAGGUGACUUGUAGAUCCUUAGACGCACACAGAAGGGCUUCUUAGACGCCUAAGAGCAUUGUCCUAUGGCAACCUAGUUCAAGGUCUG
rnacentral:lncRNA from 1 species